AUCCGGAUGAUUAGUGCCAAAUAGGACGAAACACGAGUCCUGGAU
rnacentral:hammerhead_ribozyme from 1 species